CCUACGGGUGGCAGCAGUGGGGGAUAUUGGUCAAUGGGGGGAACCCUGAUCCAGCGACGCCGCGUGAGUGAAGAAGUAUUUCGGUAUGUAAAGCUCUGUCAGCAGGGAAGAAAGAAAUGACGGUACCUGACCAAGAAGCCCCGUCUAACUACGUGCCAGCAGCCGCGGGUAUACGUAGGGGGCAAGCGUUAUCCGGGAUUACUGGGUGUAAAGGGUGCUUGGACGGUUAAGUAAGUCUGGAGUGAAAGGCCGGGGCCCCACCCCGGGCCUGCUGUGGAAACGACUGGACUUGAGUGCAGGAGAGGUAAGCGGAAUUCCUAGUGUAGCGGUGAAAUGCGUAGAUAUUAGGAGGAACACCAGUGGCGAAGGCGGCUUACUGGACUGUAACUGACGUUGAGGCUCGAAAGCGUGGGGAGCAAACAGGAUUAGAUACCCCUGUAGUC
rnacentral:rRNA from 1 species